rnacentral:rRNA from 1 species
AGCGAACGUUAGCGGCGGGCCUAACACAUGCAAGUCGAACGCGAAAGGUCUUCGGACUGAGUAGAGUGGCGCACGGGUGAGUAACACGUAGGUAAUCUACCCUUUGGCGGGGGAUAACGUUCCGAAAGGAGCGCUAAUACCGCAUAAGACCACGUGGUCUCCGGACCGAGUGGGGAAAGGUGGCCUCUUCUUGAAAGCUACCACCGAAGGAUGAGCCUGCGUCCCAUCAGCUAGUUGGUAAGGUAAUGGCUUACCAAGGCAAAGACGGGUAGCUGGUUUGAGAGAAUGAUCAGCCACACUGGCACUGGAACACGGGCCAGACUCCUACGGGAGGCAGCAGUGAGGAAUAUUGGGCAAUGGGCGAAAGCCUGACCCAGCCACGCCGCGUGAGUGAUGAAGGCCCUCGGGUCGUAAAGCUCUGUGGAGAGGGACGAAAACCCUGGUUUCAAAUAGGCUCCAGGCUUGACGGUACCUCUUUAGCAAGCACCGGCUAACUCUGUGCCAGCAGCCGCGG